AUGUUUGUGAUUACUCGUCAGCCUUGGAGCAUGGGUUCAGACAACUUUUUGAUUGAAUGGAUGGAUCCGGAGGAACAAGAUAAGAAUAUUCAGGACUACAAGUUUGAUUCAAUUUAUGUCACUAUUCGGAUUUAUGGUAUCCCCAUCAGGUUUAGAACCCAAGCACUGUUAGCAAGCAUCCUGCAAAAAGUGGGGCAGAUUUCAGAGUUUCAUCCGAUUAACAAGAGUAUGAUUUCGGCUAGGCAGGAAUACAUUUGGGGUACUAUUAAAGCUCAGAUCAGUAGACCUAUGAAAGAUAAAGUUUGGGUUUCUUAUGGCGAAGACUCUGCUGGUUGGGCCUAUUUGUUCUACGAGAAGAUUGGCAGAAUCUGUACUUUUUGUGGAAUUAUGUUUCAUAGCGUCCAGCAUUGCAAAGCUAGAAACAGUGUCCUUAUUUCAAGGAGUAGGCUUCAAGUCUCUUUGGAGGGUAUCUCCCCAAAUAAAUUUGGCCAAUGGAUGACUGCUGCAGAUUUGAGUCCUUCUCUUUCAGAAGAACGUAAUCUAUGCAAAGCAAAUUCAUUCUCAUUUUUUGUAGAUCAUCAGUUAGCCAGAUUGCAGAAGCAGUUCAUAGAACACCCUAAGGGCAAGGGGAUAGCUGUGGAUAGCGCGGAUGCGGAGGAAGCUAAUCAAAAAGAAUUAUCUCUUUCUAAGAUUAAUGAGCAAAUUAGAAGGAUAGAAGAAGGUGGUUCAUCUACAAAUGCAGAACUACAGAUAUUGCAGAAUCAGAUGGGAGGUAUGGCUACGAGGUGUAGCUAUAGUCAGGGUCAGUGCCCGGGUCAGAGCGACGCUGUUAAGAUUUCAGCGGUGCCAUCAACUGUAGUUAAUAUGGAGACGGCCUCUGUUCCGGACAAUAACGCGGGAGGAGUUCAAAUUCAAGGCUUGCACACUCCAGUACAGCAGGGUGAUGUUAUUCCUAAUCCAUCACAAAUCUCCAUUUUGUGUGCUCUGCCUGCAACUCACAUCUCAGAUACUGGCCCCUCAUCUGCUAUUCAGGCUACUAAGGAAGACUAUAAUCCAUGUGGGAAAGCUCCUGCUAAUCCAUCCAUCUUCCCAGGUGUUGUGCCUUCCUCGCCUCCGCCUCUUCUCCCUGUCCCCUCUCCGCUCAGAUCCAGUCCCAAGAGGCUGCCAGAGUCGCUGUUUGGGCUUCCGGUUCCGCCGACGAAGAAGGCCAGCAUCCAUGGAGGUCGUGGGAGGGCAGAAGAUCAGUCUGAUUCGGUGCUCGGAGCUCCGCCUGUUAGGCAAGUUCUCUCUCCACAGCCAUCUGCAACUAGUGGUAUGGGAGCCUUCACAGUGCCUGCUAGUCCAGGGAGAGGAAGGACUUUGGACGGUUCUUCGCCUUUUGGAUCCGCAACAUCUCAGGGUGGCUACCAUCGAUAUCACUAUAGCAGAUGGGAUAUUCCUCCGGCCAAGGGAUAUGGAGGUUUGUGUUCCAAUAUGCAUGGGGUUAUGCGCAAUCGCGCUUGUUCCUCCACUUGGAAGCGUGAUAGUGGAAAAGGUCUGCAUGUUGAUAUGGGCGAACAUAGCCCCAGAAUUCAAACCGCAAUGAAAAAACAAGAUGACUUUAGUUCCUCUGGCCAAGGCAAUACAUUGGAUCUCCGGAAUGAUCAAGUUGGAGAAAACAUGGAAUUGAAUGUUGGUAUGGAUACGAGGGUGGCUGAAUCCUUUCCUCGGGCAGCGGCGCAUGGCCCUAACGCGCCUCGGGCGCCAUGA
rnacentral:rRNA from 1 species